CAGUCGCCGCGGGAAUACGAAGGGGGCUAGCGUUGUUCGGAAUUACUGGGCGUAAAGCGCACGUAGGCGGAUCGAUCAGUCAGGGGUGAAAUCCCAGAGCUCAACUCUGGAACUGCCUUUGAUACUGUCGAUCUAGAGUAUGGAAGAGGUGAGUGGAAUUCCGAGUGUAGAGGUGAAAUUCGUAGAUAUUCGGAGGAACACCAGUGGCGAAGGCGGCUCACUGGUCCAUUACUGACGCUGAGGUGCGAAAACGUGGGGAGCAAACAGGAUUAGAUACCCGUGUAGUCCCGUCUCUUAUACA
rnacentral:rRNA from 1 species